AUCCCUGUAACCAUCAACUCUGGUAGUUAAAUCUCUUUUUCACAUCUGUACAAAGAACAGUGAAGUUGAAACUGCCUGGAGAAGCUACCAAAGUUGUGCUCUCAUCCUGCAGAGUCGUUUUGGUGGGGUUCUGCUGCAGGUCUUUCUACAGCUGGGGAAAUGGAAAUUUAUCCUGGUUCCUGGACACCACUACUGAUAAUAUGUCUUUUUAUCCAGAGUCACUUGUUUCUCUAGAGGUCACUGGAACUCUUGCCGAAACACAACUUCAUAUAGCUCUAGGCAGCUCUAGGCAGCUGCUGACCUCAGCAAUUAUGAGUGAAGAGUUUCAUGUGGGUGAGAGUCAAAAGGGAAUUAUCACCUGAAAGUUUCUGAAAAGGGAGAAAUAUGGGACUGCUUCACAAGCGAGAGAUAAUACUUGGUUGGUCUCCAUCAAACUUUCCUGAGGAAGAAGAUUUGGCUGGAUACAAGGGCAGCUGUCUUGCUUCCUCCCAUUCAGAUUACCCCGUGGCUCCCACGUGUCUUGUAGCCAGUACAGAGCCAUAGCAUCUGAGGGAAGCUGAACAGACUCAUAUAGAUGGAUGGGUGAAGCGAAGUAGAAUAUUACUGAAUAAUCUUCAAUCUUGAAUGAGGAAAAUGAGAUACAAGAUGCCUAAUGUUUCACUGACAUCCAUGGAAAGAGACAUGAAAACAUCCAAACCUCUCUGAGGAAGCAAGUUAAGGGGACCACAUGCCAACCCACAGCUCCAGUGAGAAGGGUGGCCCUGGCAGCCAGUGGGACAACAGGGAUCCCAUGCGCAGUCUCCUUGUGUGACCACAGGGGAGAGGCUGUGCCUGGUGCAUGAAGGAGAAGCAAAGCAUGUUUGGCGAGUUCUCAAUGCAAUGCUUUCCUCUUAUUUCUGCACAGGAGUCGAUACUUUUGAACUGCUGAAACCUGAUGACUUGCAAUCAAUAGUCUGUAAAACAAUAAGGUCAGCAGUGCGAAGAUUCAGAUUUUCUGCCUCUAAGCGCAGACUGCUGUGCUGGGCCACUGAGUGCCUGGAGCUCAAAUCAGAAAAGCUGCAAGAAUUAGCCAGUCCUAACAAGGUUCAAUUUCUGCCUGAAAUUAAAUUAGCUGGCAUCAAUUUGAAGAAAACCUACUAUAAUGGGGUUUUCCUGUUGAGAGUGACCAAAACAGAUCAUAGGAAGAAGCACAACAAAUAAGCAAAGAAAGAAAGAAAGGG